rnacentral:rRNA from 1 species
GACGAACGCUGGCGGCGUGCUUAACACAUGCAAGUCGAACGGAAAGGCCCUGCUUUUGUGGGGUGCUCGAGUGGCGAAAGGGUGAGUAACACGUGAGUAACAUGCCCUUGACUUUGGGAUAAAUUAAGGAAACUGGGGCUAAUACAGGAUAGGAGCUCCUGAUGCAGGGUGGGGGUUGGAAAGUUUCGGCGGUUGGGGAUGGACUCGCGGCUUAUCAGCUUGUUGGUGGGGUAGUGGCUUACCAAGGCUUUGACGGGUAGCCGGCCUGAGAGGGUGACCUGCCACAUUGGGACUGAGAUACGGCCCAGACUCCUACGGGAGGCAGCGGUGGGGUAUAUUACACAAUAGGCUGAAGCCUGAUGCAGCAACGCCGCGUCCGGGAUAACGGCCUUCUGUUUGUAAACCGCUUUCGCCUGUGACGAAGCGUGAGUGACGGUAAUGGGUAAAGAAGCACCGGCUAACUACGUG